AAGGUUUUAAGUUAAUUAAACUAAUAGCCUUCAAAGCUAUAAAUAAAGUAUACAUUUUAAACCUUA
rnacentral:tRNA from 1 species